GACCGCGUAGCUCAGUUGGCAGAGCAUUGGGCUAGUAUUCCAAAGGUCGUAGGUUCGAUUCCCACCGUGUCA